UAUAUGUGACUUGUGCUUACGCUCCACCUUACCAAAUGGGUUCUUAUCAGACGUUACCACUUUAUACUGCUUUCUGGGGACAUUAGGGAACUGGUACCUGCAAGAAAACUGAGUUAAAAACACAUACACAGACAUGGAUGUGAACAAUGGGUACUUAUACCUGAUACAUUGAAAAAAAAUGAAAAUGGGUCGUAAUGUAAAAUAAAUGUUUGUGUUAUUGUAAAACGGUUUAUAAGAGUUAAAGGGUCAGUGUUGUUUGGAGUCAUUUCUUUUUGUCAGGGAGAGUGUGACACCCUGUUUGUGUAGUCACAGAAAUGGUAGUAAUUAUUUGUUUUUUAUGCCAUGGACUUGAUUAUCUGAGUAUUUGUAAUAUUGUUUAAAUGAGUGUUAUUAUGUCUAAUGGUGAUGUGUAGUACUGUCCGGGGACAGUAGGGGGAGAUGCUGCGUUGACUGUGGGGUUUAGGGUGAGUCGCGAAGAAGAGAGCAUUACAAGAGCGACGCCACGAUAUGAAGCAGCACAACUGUGUCUCUCUUUGUUUAAUUUCAAACAGAUCUUCUAAAUACCGCUACUGCCUGUCAGAAAAUCAAGACAGGAGAUUGAGAAUGGGCAACAGUAAAGGACAGCGGCCUGAACAAGCAGGACAGACAAAAGUGCAAUGAGCACCACAAGAUUCAGGAAGCCGAUGGGGGCAGCUUGGCUGAGAAUGAAGAGACAAAAAUGAAAACUUGAACCUGAAAACCAGACAGGAAGGAAAUCUGGAGAGUCUGCGAGGGCAGGUGAUGUUAUGUGCAACUUCAAGAUUACUUUGAAUAAUAUCAAAUCCUUUCUUAUUUACUUUAAAUAAAAUUUAAAUGAGUCUCCAGUGGAAUGUUAUGCGAUUCAUCUAUCAGAAUGUCCUCCAUUUACAUCAAGAAGGUUGAAGAAAAUAAAUAAUUGUGGUAACUGCUGCUCUAGAAACAUCAAACAGUUAGGCAGAGGGUCCUGGUAAAUGAGUUCCCAUGGUUUGUCUUUUCUCACAAUAACAUAUUUAACCAGUUUCUUGUACACAUCACUGCUGAAUACAAAUUGUUACUAGCUAGUAACAAAAGAAAAAUGUUUUUCCCCAUCAGCCCAUAAAAUGUAUAUUAUUAUUUAAUAUUUAAUUAAUAUGAAUAACCAUCAUGACAAUGUGUGUUCAUAUGAUUUUGUUCACUAGUAUGCAUGCAGUCAA